GACGAACGCUGGCGGCGUGCUUAACACAUGCAAGUCGAGCGGUAAGGCCCUUUCGGGGGUACACGAGCGGCGAACGGGUGAGUAACACGUGGGUGACCUGCCCUCAGCUCUGGGAUAAGCCUGGGAAACCGGGUCUAAUACCGGAUAUGACUCCAUGACGCAUGUUGUGGGGUGGAAAGCCUUGUGCGGCUGAGGAUGGGCCCGUGGCCUAUCAGCUUGUUGGUGGGGUGAUGGCCUACCAAGGCGACGACGGGUAGCCGGCCUGAGAGGGCGACCGGCCACACUGGGACUGAGACACGGCCCAGACUCCUACGGGAGGGCAGCAGUGGGGAAUCUUGCGCAAUGGGCGAAAGCCUGACGCAGCGACGCCGCGUGAGGGAUGACGGCCUCGUGU
rnacentral:rRNA from 1 species